UGGUGCGAUCAUACCAACACUAAUGCACCGGAUUCCAUCGGAACUCCGUAGUUAAUCACGCUUGGGUGAGAAUUGUACGAAGAUGGGUCUGUCACAUGAUUUUCAUAGACACGGGCUAAUUGCAUGAC
rnacentral:rRNA from 1 species